rnacentral:rRNA from 1 species
GACGAACGCUGGCGGCGUGCUUAACACAUGCAAGUCGAACGGAAAGGCCCUGCUUUUGUGGGGUGCUCGAGUGGCGAACGGGUGUGUAACACGUGAGUAACCUGCCCUUGACUUUGGGAUAACUUCAGGAAACUGGGGCUAAUACCGGAUAGGAGCUCCUGCUGCAUGGUGGGGGUUGGAAAGUUUCGGCGGUUGGGGAUGGACUCGCGGCUUAUCAGCUUGUUGGUGGGGUAGUGGCUUACCAAGGCUUUGACGGGUAGCCGGCCUGAGAGGGUGACCGGCCACAUUGGGACUGAGAUACGGCCCAGACUCCUACGGGAGGCAGCAGUGGGGAAUAUUGCACAAUGGGCGGAAGCCUGAUGCAGCAACGCCGCGUGCGGGAUGACGGCCUUCGGGUUGUAAACCGCUUUCGCCUGUGACGAAGCGUGAGUGGCGGUAAUGGGUAAAGAAGCACCGGCUAACUACGUG